rnacentral:rRNA from 1 species
GAGUUUGAUCCUGGCUCAGAUUGAACGCUGGCGGCAUGCCUUACACAUGCAAGUCGAACGGCAGCACGGGAGCUUGCUCCUGGUGGCGAGUGGCGAACGGGUGAGUAAUGCAUCGGAACGUAUCCUGGAGUGGGGGAUAACGUAGCGAAAGUUACGCUAGUACCGCAUAUUCUGUGAGCAGGAAAGCGGGGGACCUUCGGGCCUCGCGCUCUUGGAGCGGCCGAUGUCGGAUUAGCUAGUUGGUGAGGUAAAGGCUCACCAAGGCGACGAUCCGUAGCAGGUCUGAGAGGAUGAUCUGCCACACUGGAACUGAGACACGGUCCAGACUCCUACGGGAGGCAGCAGUGGGAAUUUUGGACAAUGGGGGCGAACCCUGAUCCAGCCAUGCCGCGUGAGUGAAGAAGG